UUUAUUUAUAGCUCCACUUUUAUGUUAUUAUACUUGUCGAUGUGGGAUGGGGCGUUUAUUUUUUUUGGUUACAUGAUGGGGCGUUUAGUUAUACACUUUAGAGACAAGAUUUUCUCUUAUAUAUAGGAGAAGAAGCACUAGUAAAGAUCAAAGAAGCAUUUUCAAUUUUCUCUCUUCCCUCACCUGUAGAUUUUGGAGAUUGUUGCCUCUUGCUUGGGUGAAGCUUCUUCUUAGUUUGAUUAGUUGGAAUAGAAAAGAUGUUUGUGUUUGGAUCAAUUGUCAUAGAUAUACAAGGUUUUAUAUUAAUCCCUUUUUUGUGUUUUUAUUAAUUAUUUCAUAUUCUUCAACUUUAGGAUAACACAUUUAUAUCCAUUGCAUCACAAUAUUGCAAAAUUUAUUGUAUGAUUGAUGUUAUUUGUUUGUUGUUAAUUUGGAACUAGAUUUUGACUCACGUGUUGUGCGAGCGAAAAUAUUUUUUUUAUUGAUUAGAUUUAGAUGUGAUAUACCAUAAUAUUAGUUUAAUAAGUUUUUUCUAUCAAAAAAAAUUUAAUAAGGAAAAUGCUAACGAUUAUCUUUGGUGCGUUCUUUAAACACUUUAAAUUAAUGUUAUGUUUUUAAGAAAAGUCGUGUAUUUAAUGCUUUGGAAAUUAUAAUAAUUGAUUUUUUGAAAGAAUAAUUGUUCUUAGGAUCUUAAAGAGUAUCUUGGAGACACUUGUUAGCGAUGUCCUAAUAAUGAUGUAAUUUGGCUUUGAGGAUAAGCUUUGCUUGCUUUAUCAAACAACUUGACAAUGGAAGAUUUUUCUUAAAGUGACGUAUGAAAUGAGACAUUAGAAGAGUCAUGUAAGAGUGACCAAUGUUCCACAAAUCAAGUAUUAAUUCGUCGAGUUUACGUUUAUAGGUACCAAAAUUGUGUCAAUUUGGAGGUAAAUUUGAUUAAACUCGGAAUGUUUGUCUCGGUCAAACUCGGGUAAACUCGGAAUGUAAGUCUAAUGUUUUUUAUUUUUUUAUUUUUUAUGGUUUUAUUAACAACUUUAGAAACUUGUGAAACUUGCCUUUUUGGAUGGUUAAGACUUAAGAGACUUAUGACUUUGCAAGUUUAUUUUGUAUUUUGAUGUUUAGUUGAACAAAAUGCUUUAUUAUGGUGGUUAAAAACCUUUAUAAUUUAGUCAUAUUUUACACUAUUGGACUAUUUACAACAUUAUAUUAGUUCAUAUGUCAUGUAAAUAAUAAAUUUUAUUUAAUUUUAAUUUUAAUUUUAAUUUUAGGUAAACUCGUACGAGUUCUCGAGUCGAGUUUACCUAAGCAAAAUAAAUUGAGGUAAACUCUCGAGUUAUAAAACCUUAAGAGUGACAAAUCAAAUAUUGAGGUUUUUUUUGGUUUACAAAUGACAGCUUAUAUACAAAAUUGGGGUUAUUUGAAUUUUGUUCUUAAAUUAUGAUAACCGGUUUUUGAUAACCAAAUUUGAUAAUAGUAGCAGGUGUCUUAUAACCAAAUCAGAAAAUACAAUAAGUUGAUUAUACUCUAUUCUAAACAUACUUUAUAACAGAAGACAAGAGAUGGUUUUUACUUAAUUGUAACGGACAUUAGCAAAGAGAAAAGAAGGAAUUUGCUAGAGAAUUGCUGUUUACACAUAUGAGAAGGCUGAGAAACAUAUGCAAAAGACGAAAAUAUCCUUCGGUAGUUAACUGCCAAAGAAAAAGGGAAACCGGCUGCAGUUAACUACCGAGGAAAACCUCGGCAGUUAACUACCGAAGAGUGCUGAAUCAAUCCCACUCCCACUUAACCUUGCUCCAUUUCACCCAAAUCUCAGACCUACAGUUUCUUGAAUUUUCCAAACUUCAUGCGACAACAUCAAUUCUUUUGAUAUUUAUAUUUGAUUCAAAUGAAUCAAAGAUUUGGGUCUUGUGUUAUGAGUAAUCCAACGAAAAGCCAUGGCAUGAAUUAAAGUAUUGGUUGAUUUUUAUUAUCUUUCAGAUUUAAAUGUUUCCUGCUUGGGUUUAACAUCCUUCUCAUUCUUUGAUUCAAUUCAUCGCAUGGAACAGACCAAACCUAAACUAACAUAUUUCUUUCUAUCAUCUUUUUUUUAUCUAAUUUAAUUAAAUUUGUGUGCAAUUGAUGAAGUAAAGCCCACAAAAUCAUUUAAUCUUGACUCUCUUCUACAUGUGAAUGAAACAAUAUUCUUCGUAUAAAAGGAACAAACAGCUUCUGUCGAACAACAUGAGUCCAGGAAUUUCGGCACUUAAGUGCCGAUGGAUUAUACUGAAUUUAUUUCCUCGGCAGUUAACUGCCGCCGGUUUACUAAAAACUUCGGCAGUUAACUGCCGAAGGGCAUUUGAUUAAUUUACUCGUGUGGCACAGCCAAACCAAAUGUGGGAACAGCAAUUCUCAAUUUGCUAUUGUAGUCAAUCGAAAUGAGAAUUAUAAAAUAAGGAAUAGAUAGCACCAUAGAUUCUAACAUGUGACAACUCGGAUUUUAUUUGACGUGGCAAUCAAAGCACCAACGAAAAACUAAUUUGAGAUUUAAGGUGCCCCUAAUAUAGACCCCAAAAAAAGGUCCACCAAUGAACCUCCUUAUAUGACCUGCUACAACCGAUCAUCAUAAUUAAAAAAAAAAAAAAGAAUUAAUCAAUUUUAAUUAUAAAAAAAAAAGCUAGAUUGAAUCCAUACUUUUCAUCUCUCUUCUCAGAAAAUUCCUUUCCCUCUUUGUAAUUUCUUUUCAUUCAUUCUUCUCCUCUAUUUUUCAUCAAUUGCCAAUUUUCUUUCCCGAUUUCCAUGGCGGAAGUUGAAUACCAAUGCUUUGUUGGUGGACUUGCCUGGGCCACCGACAACGAAGCUCUUGAGAAAGCGUUUUUUUUUUCCUUUGUGAAAUCGUCGAAUCGAAGGUCCGUUUAUUGCUAAGAUCGGAAAUCUGACACGAAUUGGAUUUGGAUUUUCGUGAUCUCGUUCUGUUCUGUGUUCAUAUUUUUCAUCUCUCUUCUCAGAAAGUUCUUCUCAGAAAGUUCCCUUUCUUCUUCUGUAAUUUCUUUUCCUCCAUUUUUCUCCUCUAUUUUUCAUCAAUUGUCAAUUCUGAAUCUUAAGCUUCUCAAACAAAAAUUCUAAAUCUUCAAAACUUAAACCCCAAAUCCAUAAUUGUUAAUCGAUUGCAGUUUCCUUUCUUGCUUCAUAGCUGUUAAUCGAUUCCAAUUUUGCUGUUGUGGAUUCCUAGUUGUUUUAUUAUCAAACUAUUCAUUCUAAUUCCUUGGAUUCUUAUGAUUCUUUCUUCUUUUUAGGUUAAUUUCAUGUUUACUGGUUGAUGUCAGCAUUUGGAUUUGUUAGUAUUCAAAUACUUCAAAUUAGUGUUAACUGAGG
rnacentral:lncRNA from 1 species